AGUCUCCAUGUUGUGUUCCGGAUGUUUAACAGCUGAUGGUUGUGAUGAUGUUCGGAGGUUUAUUGGUCUCGUGUUGGUUCUGGUAAAUCAGACGCGUGUGGUGAAUCCGUCAUUCAGAUAGGAAUCAAAUCACGGAUGUCGCGAUGGGAUCUGAACAUCACGAUCACGACUGUCUCCGUGGGAGGUGUCUGGGCAUCCUCAGACGGAUGGAGAUUGACGUGCGGUUCCGUUAUUAUUUCCAGCACCCGUGGUCUCGUCUGGUCGUGGCGUAUCUGGUCACCUUCUUCAAUUUCCUGAUCUUUGCGGAGGAUCCCAUCUCUCACAGCCAGACGGAAGCACACAUGAUCGUGGUGGGGAACUGCUUCUCAUUCGUGGUGAAUAAAUAUCCUGGUGGAGGAUGGAACUUCCUGAAAGUCCUGAUGUGGAUCCUGGCCAUCAUCACGGGCCUCAUUGCCGGGAAGUUCCUGUUUCAUCGACGCUUGUUUGGUCGUCUGUUGCGUCUGAAGAUGUUUCGUGAGGAUCAUGGCUCGUGGAUGACGAUGUUCUUCAGCACGAUUCUCUCUCUGUUCAUCUUCUCUCACAUAUAUAACCUUCUACUGCUCAUGAACGGACGGAUGGGACCAUAUAUGGUGACGGAGUACAUGGGAAUCAGAAAUGAGAGUUUUAUGAAGUUGGCCGCUGUAGGAACAUGGAUGGGUGAUUUUGUGACGGCAUGGAUGGUAACAGAUAUGAUGCUGCAGGACACACAUUACCCGGACUGGGGCAGGACCGCGAGGCACUUAUGGAGGAAGGGCAAUAACAGAAUAGUGCUCUUCUGGACGGUGUUGGUCUCUCUGACGUCUGUGGUUGUUCUGGUCAUCAGUACUGACUGGAUCAGGUGGGAUAAUCUAAACCGCGGGUUUCUUCCCAGUGACGAGGUUUCCAGAGCGUUCCUCGCAUCCUUCAUCCUGGUCUUUGACCUCCUCAUCGUCAUGCAGGAUUGGGAGUUUCCACACUUCAUGGGCGAUCUGGACAUGAAUCUUCCGGGUCUUUCCACCACGCAACUGAAGAUCAAACUGCCUGUGUGCAAACGCAUCUUUAAAGACGAGUAUCACAUUCACAUCACAGGGAAAUGGUUUAAUUAUGGCAUCAUCUUUUUGGUUCUCAUCUUGGACCUGAACAUGUGGAAGAACCAGAUCUUCUAUAAGCCGUAUGAAUAUGGUCAGUACGUUGGUCCAGGAGAGAAGAUCUACACCGUUGAGCAUCCAGAGACGCUGCAAGACUUCAAUCGAAGCACGCUGACCUGGGCUUGGCGCACCACCAAUAUCGACCCCCUCACCAACCAGACUUACGUCCAGCGAGACAUGUUCCUACACAGCCGUUAUGUGGGCUCCAGUCUGGACGUCAAAUGCCUGGCAUUCAUCCCGAGUCUAGCAGCCUUCGUGCUCUGCGGAUUCUUCAUCUGGCUGUUUGGCCGGUUUCAAGACAGCGAGACGUUCCCUGAGAACCAAGACAAGAGUUACGAGCGCAUCAAGCGAAAGUCGCCGUCUGAUCUGGGAGUGACGCCAGAGGAGGUGCACAUCACCAUGAGUGAGGCGCUGAAGAGAAGCGGAACACCAAUGUUGCUCUUAGUGGAUGCACAUCAUUUUGGGUCAUCGAACAACUCCAUGUCACCGUGUUCAAACGAGACACAAGAGACACAACCCAGCGUAGCCAUCAACAGUGUUGUCCCCGAUGAUACUGCUGAUGUAAAAAAACUGACCCCAUGACUUUAGCCGAAAGUCAAACUGAGUCCAAAAAGUACUAUCUGAACAUUUUCUGGAAAUUGGUUGGUGUCAGUCCAACAAUCUUUCAAACAGUGUUGUCGGAAAACUAGCUUUGAAACUACACAAGAGCUAUCAUGGAAACUACAGUGAAAAUUCUGUUUGCAUUUUCAAUAUUUUUAUAAGAAACAUUUUAAAGACUUCUUAUGGCAUGAACGUUUGAACUGAAAUUGUUCAAUGUUCCUCAAAUCGUUCCUCUAUAAGGCUCUAUGGUGCUGAAUGUUUAAUUUAUUUUGUGUGUCUUUUGUAUGUAGAUAUUCUGGUGCCUACAUGGAUAAAUACUGUAAGUACACACUGAGCGCAUGGCAUGAUGGUUAUGAACAUGUUACUCUUAAUUAUAAGUAGGGCUGGGUAUUGAUACAGAUUUCCAUAUUUGCUUCGAGUCUGAUUCACAAACUCUCGAUUCGCUUGCGAUUUUGAUUAGAUUCUGAUUAAUUGUAACAGUUGUAAUGUCCAUUUUGCUUACAUAUAAAUUAAACUCUCUCUUAGCUAAUGCUGUAAAUUAUACAGGGGACCUUUUAACGUGGUACAUUAUGGUAAUAUUGGUACAUUAUGGUAAUAUUAACAAUAAGCUCUCAAACAGUGCAGUUCAAUUCCAAUAUACAGACAUAAUAUUCAAAACAUUCAAAACUGAAGGAAACUUUAAAGUAAAAGAUUUAUCUUGGGAUUGUAAGAAUCAAUUAAUCGUAAAAAUAAUAAUAAAAAAAUAAAAAUAAAAAAAUGUUUUUAUAUUUUUACCCAGCCCCGAUUAUAAGCAAUAACGCUGUGCCUUUAAUAGAAAACGACUAAUGGGUCGUAGGUUUGAAUUAUCUUUCCAAGCAAAGGAUGUCAUAUCAAGUAAUUAUCUGUUGAGAUAUUUAUCAGUUCACAAUAUUUAAAUGUUAUAUUAUUAUUUGGUCUCAUAGCUACAUUUAAAAGGGAAAAAAAACACCCUCAAAUGCAUCUAUUAAUAUGUGUAAAACUGUAAUUAUGAAUCAACUUUAAGAGCUGUUCACCAAACUGCUGUGCAAUCGAGUAUGUGUUCACAUGCAUGUGUUGGAAAAACUGAUCUGAUUCAUUUUUAGCUUAAAUAGUUCCUGUAGUUGAUUUUAUUGGUGCAAGAUUCAUUUUUAAUAUUACCUGUUUGUUUUCAAUACUUUCAGUUCAAACCAAAACAAUGAUCUGAAACUGUUACAACUCAGAAAAUGCUCACAAAUUAUUAUUUUGUUGUUUGUAGUACUGUUGUCUUGAAGUUUUCAUCACAAUCUGUGUCGGUUUACCUGCAUCUUGUGCUGUUGAGUGGAUGACACCUCUUCAAAUGUUCGAUCCAGCCGCUCAUCCUCAUCGUUUUCUUCAACACCUCAGCUCUCAGAUUGAGUCGUGUGUGAGGCUGUUCUCCAGGGUUUCCUGUCAUGACGGCUCUUUCUCUCCCGUUGACUAAAUCACAGAACAGACUCAAACUCCUGACAUGCGCUGACAGAGACAGAGACUUCCAUGUAGUGUAUUAGUUUCUGUGUGUGUGUUUGUGUUUGUGUGUGUGUGUGUGUGUGUGUGUGUGUUUGUGUGUGUUUGUGUGUGUGUGUUUGUGUGUGUGUGUGUGU